rnacentral:rRNA from 1 species
CAAUAGCGUAUAUUAAAGUUGUUGCAGUUAAAAAGCUCGUAGUUGGAUUUCUGGAUGGAGCGACCGGUCGGGCAUUAAUUUGUCUGCACUGGAGUCGGUUCCGUCCAUCCUCUUGGAAAGUGCGUGGGGCAUUAAGUUGUCUGGCGUAUGAUCCAAGUCGUUUACUGUGAAAAAAUUAGAGUGUUUAAAGCAGGCCUUCGCCUUGAAUACAUUAGCAUGGAAUAAUAAGGUAGGACUUUGGUCUAUUUUGUUGGUUUGCAGACCGAAGUAAUGAUUAAUAGGGAUAGUUGGGGGUAUUUAUAUUCCGAUGUCAGAGGUGAAAUUCUUAGAUUUUCGGAAGAUAAACUUAUGCGAAAGCAUUUACCAAGGAUGUUUUCAUUAA